UACGUAGGCAGCAAGCGUUGUUCGGAGUUACUGGGCGUAAAGGGUGUGUAGGCGGUUGUUUAAGUUUGGUGUGAAAUCUCCCGGCUCAACCGGGAGGGUGCGCCGAAUACUGAAUGACUAGAGUGUGGGAGAGGUGAGUGGAAUUCCUGGUGUAGCGGUGAAAUGCGUAGAGAUCAGGAAGAACACGGUGGCGAAGGCGGCUCUGGCUGAGCUAACUGACACUGAGGGACGAAAGCGUGGGGAGCGA
rnacentral:rRNA from 1 species